GACGAACGCUGGCGGCGUGCCUAAUACAUGCAAGUCGAACGCUGAAGCAGGAGCUUGCUUCUCUGGACGAGUUGCGAACGGGUGAGUAACGCGUAGGUAACCUGCCCUGUAGCGGGGGAUAACUAUUGGAAACGAUAGCUAAUACCGCAUAAUAGUUGAUGUUGCAUGACAUUUACUUAAAAGUUUCAAUUGUAUCGCUACCAGUUGGAGCUGCGCUGGUUUGGCUUGUUGGUGGGGUAACGGCUCACUAAGGCGACGAUGCGUAGUCGAACUGUGAGGGGGGUCGGCCGCACUGGGAGUGAGACACGGCCCAGACGCCUUCGGGAGGCGGCCAGAGGGAAACGGCGGCAAGGGGCGGAAAUCUGGCCGAGCAACGCCGCGUGAGUGAAGAAGGAUGUCGGAUCGUGAAGCUCGGUUGUAGGGGAAGAAAGAGUGUGAGAGUGGAAAGUUCACACUGUGACGGUAUCUUAUCAGAAAGCGACGGCUAACUACGUG
rnacentral:rRNA from 1 species